rnacentral:rRNA from 1 species
GACGAACGCUGGCGGCGUGCCUAAUACAUGCAAGUCGAACGCAGUGGGGACGGGUGAGUAACCCGUGGGUAACCUCCCAUCAGAGGGGAUAACACUUGGUAACAGGUGCUAAACCGAUACUGAUGGAUGGACCCUCGUUGCGUUAGAUAGUUGGUGAGGUAACGGCUCACCAAGGCCACGACGCAUAGCCGACCUGAUAGGGUUGGCGGCCACACUGGAACGGAGGCACGGCCCGGACGCCUACGGGAGGCAGCAGUAGGGGAUCUACGGCAAUGGAAGGAAGUCUAACCGGGCAACGCAGCGUGAGUGAAGAAGGUUUUCGGAUCGUAAAACUCUGUUGUUAGAGAAGCGGUAUCAAACCAGAAAGCCACGGCUAACUACGUGCCAGCAGCCGCGGUAAUUC